UACGUAGGGCGCAAGCGUUGUCCGGAAUUAUUGGGCGUAAAGAGCUCGUAGGCGGUUUGUCGCGUCCGCUGUGAAAACCUAAGGCUCAACCUUGGGCUUGCAGUGGGUACGGGCAGACUAGAGUGCGGUAGGGGUGACUGGAAUUCCUGGUGUAGCGGUGGAAUGCGCAGAUAUCAGGAGGAACACCGAUGGCGAAGGCAGGUCACUGGGCCGCAACUGACGCUGAGGAGCGAAAGCAUGGGGAGCGAACAGG
rnacentral:rRNA from 1 species